AAGCCCCAUGAGGGCAGAGAUUGUUGUCUCUUCUCUUUGUUUUGUUUUCCAAAUACCUAGAAAAGUGCCUGGGGAUUAAGAAGUAUUGAGUAACUAAGAGUUGUUUAAAUUGUGUCCCCAUUUAAAUAUCUUGGUUGGUGGCGUAUGUCUUAUGGUUAUGUCAUUCUCUUUCCCUUCCAAGUAGAGCCACAAAGCCAGAUAUUUAAAUUAGCACAGUCCCUUGUUUUUCUAUGAGUUGGGAGCAAGCACAAUAGGCAUUGGCCUGAAAGGAGAGAAAGAACAUAAAUUAAGAUGAGACUCAUCUGACUUGGUUCUAGUUCUGUUCUAUCACUAAUUUACUCUGCGACAUUGAACAAAUCUGUCUUAGUUUCAUUGUCUAUAGUAUUUGUCUCACAGCUUUUCAAGGUAACCCUAUGCAAGACAUAUUAAAAUAGUUUUAAGAGUUUAAGACACUAUACUUUUGUAAACACAUUCUUAUUAUUGAAGCUUUUAUUUUUUAAAAUAUUUUCCCUAAGAUACCAUAACUCUCUGUGCAGAAUAAAAUUUUAAGGCAAAAUAUAUAAUUUCUUCUUGGGUGAUAUUAUUUGCUUAAUAUCCAUAUGAAAUAUUUCCUGGUUUAGAAUAUCAAUCAUUUUUAUAAAGUACAAUUUUUUUUUGUAUCUUCUUCAUGUGGAUGUGAACAUAAGUCACUCUGUUGGCAAUCAGAAAAUGAAGAUUGGCUAUUUGUAAUCACCGCUUUUGGCUGAGAAAAUACUGGAGUCGAAGUGAGGAGCCAAGUGGACGUUGGACAAAGGGUUUGUGAGAAAGGCUUAGGCAGAUAGUGAGCACUGACGAAGAAUGAGUUUGUCAGGAACUACCCCAUCAGGUGCAUGAGCCAUAAAAUGAGGCCGUGAGGAACACAGUGUUCCUGAUGACAGUAGUAAAUCCAUUUCAAAUAUAGUGAACUGUUUGCUUAAACUUUCCCAUGUUCUGUCAGACCUUUGGCACUGAAAAUCAACUCAAUAUAGAAAUUAGCUUGCCCAGAGGCUUCAGGGCAGAAAGACUCAAAGUACAGACUGUUGCAUCAAAAUUGUGUUUAGUAACACAAAGCUCUCAUGAAAUAUUUGGUAUGUUGCUUUUUAGAACUUUCUAGUUUGAACAGAAUUUCCCCGUCUUGUAUUACUAUUUUAGCAUAACGUUUGGAACAAGGUACUUACCUGAUGAAAUACAAAUAUAUUCAGUUCUCUAACAAAUCUAUGCUCUUUUAAUUUUAGUUUUUUAUUAAAAUUAUACAAAGAAAAUUGUUUGGCAUCCCAAGGAAGCAUUAAUUGUACUUAUUCUCAUGGAUAUUUCAUGUUUUAUUUUUAUUUUUAUGUGGACUCUUUUCUUCUUUCCUGUUUCCAGUGAGGAUUGUUUCAAAUAAAGCUGUCUGAUGUAGAAAGACAUGGUUGCUAGGGAGCCAGAGUCACGAUGGCUGAUGUUACUAGGGAGGAUACAGAGCAGGCAGUGGCUACAGUUGAUUCAGCACUACGUUACCAGAAUAAGUAAAGGUCUAUUUGCCUUGCAUGAUAUUAAAUUAAAUCUGUCUGAGAGAUAAACAACUUAAAUUUUAAUGCUUCACAUUCAAGAGUGCAUCUGGACUAAUAUUUAAGUAACACAAUACAUCUAUCUUUCAGACUAUGA